rnacentral:rRNA from 1 species
GAUGAACGCUGGCGGCGUGCCUAGUACAUGCAAGUCGAGCGAACGGACGAGAAGCUUGCUUCUCUGAUGUUAGCGGCGGACGGGUGAGUAACACGUGGAUAACCUACCUAUAAGACUGGGAUAACUUCGGGAAACCGGAGCUAAUACCGGAUAAUAUUUUGAACCGCAUGGUUCAAAAGUAAAAGACGGUCUUGCUGUCACUUAUAGAUGGAUCCGCGCUGCAUUAGCUAGUUGGUAAGGUAACGGCUUACCAAGGCAACGAUGCAUAGCCGACCUGAGAGGGUGAUCGGCCACACUGGAACUGAGACACGGUCCAGACUACUACGGGAGGCAGCAGUAGGGAAUCUUCCGCAAUGGGCGAAAGCCUGACGGAGCAACGCCGCGUGAGUGAUGAAGGUCUUCGGAUCGUAAAACUCUGUUAUUAGGGAAGAACAUAUGUGUAAGUAACUGUGCACAUCUUGACGGUACCUAAUCAGAAAGCCACGGCUAACUACGUG